CCUACGGGAGGCAGCAGUGGGGAAUUUUGGACAAUGGGCGCAAGCCUGAUCCAGCCAUGCCGCGUGUGGGAAGAAGGCCUUCGGGUUGUAAACCACUUUUGUCAGGGAAGAAACGGUCUGAACUAAUACUUUGGACUAAUGACGGUACCUGAAGAAUAAGCACCGGCUAACUACGUGCCAGCAGCCGCGGUAAUACGUAGGGUGCAAGCGUUAAUCGGAAUUACUGGGCGUAAAGCGUGCGCAGGCGGCUUUGCAAGACAGAUGUGAAAUCCCCGGGCUCAACCUGGGAACUGCAUUUGUGACUGCAUGGCUAGAGUACGGUAGAGGGGGAUGGAAUUCCGCGUGUAGCAGUGAAAUGCGUAGAUAUGCGGAGGAACACCGAUGGCGAAGGCAAUCCCCUGGACCUGUACUGACGCUCAUGCACGAAAGCGUGGGGAGCAAACAGGAUUAGAUACCCUGGUAGUCCACGCCCUAAACGAUGUCAACUGGUUGUUGGGAGGGUUUCUUCUCAGUAACGAAGCUAACGCGUGAAGUUGACCGCCUGGGGAGGACGGUCGCGAGUUAGAACGUACGAAGAAGUAGNGGCGNGAGAGNGCGAGGCGACGACGAGGGAGGAGG
rnacentral:rRNA from 1 species